UUCCCUUGUAGCCGAAGUUUUUAAAGAAUGAAAAAUGGAAAGAAGCAAACAAUUUGAUUUGGGCGGAACCUAAGGGGAUGGGCUAUAGUUAGCACCCAGAGGUAAUGCAUCUGUGACUUCGCCCACAUCUGCGAACGAGAUUAUGAGGUACAAUUUGUGUUACUGUACAUGAUGUAUCUACUGAAUCAUUGCAAGAUAACCGCUGACUUUUCAAUAUUGGCUUUGGCUCAACGCUAAACGUCGUCAAAGAUGGCGGAGCGUUCUGGUGGCCUUCUGGUGGGUUUUGAAAGAAGUUUUUAUGUUAUAUAGCAGCAGUGAUGGCUGUCUGUGGAUUUUGAACGGCGUUUUGAGUAGCGAUGCUGACAACCUGAUAAUAUCUGCGAUGAUGAAAGCGGAAUGGCGAUGGAUAUUCUCUUUACACCGUCUUUUAGAACUCGGGUCGAAGUAGCCGAACAGAUGACACAAAACUGGACAUUUCGCAAUUCAAGAAUUCAAGAGAAAGAGCUUAAAAUCGCGUCUAACUGACAUAUAUUUACCAUCAAUUAAAGGCUAUUCACAGCACUACGAAAUAUGCCCCUUACUUAAGAUGGAGCCAUGGAGAAAAGUCUAAUUGCCUAGUUCAAAUGAAUAAACGUGAUCUAGUAGAUUUAAUUUUUAUAAGUCCUUUCUUGUUGUAGAAAUACUAAACCAAAGACAGCUUAUUAAAUGUGUAUAAAUUAG